UGGCGGACGGGUGAGUAAUGUCUGGGAAACUGCCCGAUGGAGGGGGAUAACUACUGGAAACGGUAGCUAAUACCGCAUAACGUCGCAAGACCAAAGAGGGGGACCUUAGGGCCUCUUGCCAUCGGAUGUGCCCAGAUGGGAUUAGCUAGUAGGUGGGGUAAUGGCUCACCUAGGCGACGAUCCCUAGCUGGUCUGAAAGGAUGACCAGCCACACUGGAACUGAGACACGGUCCAG
rnacentral:rRNA from 1 species